UACGUAGGGGGCUAGCGUUGUUCGGAAUUACUGGGCGUAAAGCGCACGUAGGCGGACUGUUAAGUCGGGGGUGAAAUCCUGGGGCUCAACCUCAGAAUUGCCUCCGAUACUGGCAGUCUCGAGUGCGGGAGAGGUGAGUGGAAUUCCCAGUGUAGAGGUGAAAUUCGUAGAUAUUGGGAAGAACACCAGUGGCGAAGGCGGCGCACUGGCCCGUAACUGACGCUGAGGUGCGAAAGCGUGGGGAGCAAACAGG
rnacentral:rRNA from 1 species